AGUGAACGCUGGCGGUAGGCCUAACACAUGCAAGUCGAACGGCAGCACAGUAAGAGCUUGCUCUUACGGGUGGCGAGUGGCGGACGGGUGAGGAAUACAUCGGAAUCUACUUUUUCGUGGGGGAUAACGUAGGGAAACUUACGCUAAUACCGCAUACGACCUACGGGUGAAAGCAGGGGUUCUUCGGACCUUGCGCGAUUGAAUGAGCCGAUGUCGGAUUAGCUAGUUGGCGGGGUAAAGGCCCACCAAGGCGACGCUCCGUAGCUGGUCUGAGCGGAUGAUCAGCCACACUGGAAGUGAGGCACGGUCCGGACUCCUGCGGGAGGGAGCAGUGGGGAAUAUUGGGGAAUGGGCGCAAUGCUGAUCCUGCCAUACCGGGUGGGUGAAGAAGGCCUUCGGGUUGUGAAGCCCUUUUGUUGGGAAAGAAAAGCAGCAGGUUAAUACCCCGCUGUUCUGACGGUACCCGAAGAAUAAGCACCGGCUAACUUCGUG
rnacentral:rRNA from 1 species